rnacentral:rRNA from 1 species
UUUGAUCAUGGCUCAGAUUGAACGCUGGCGGCAUGCCUUACACAUGCAAGUCGAACGGCAGCACGGGAGCUUGCUCCUGGUGGCGAGUGGCGAACGGGUGAGUAAUACAUCGGAACGUACCCUGAAGUGGGGGAUAACGUAGCGAAAGUUACGCUAAUACCGCAUAUUCUGUGAGCAGGAAAGAGGGGGAUCGCAAGACCUCUUGCUUUAGGAGCGGCCGAUGUCGGAUUAGCUAGUUGGUGAGGUAAAGGCUCACCAAGGCGACGAUCCGUAGCGGGUCUGAGAGGAUGAUCCGCCACACUGGGACUGAGACACGGCCCAGACUCCUACGGGAGGCAGCAGUGGGGAAUUUUGGACAAUGGGCGCAAGCCUGAUCCAGCCAUGCCGCGUGAGUGAAGAAGGCCUUCGGGUUGUAAAGCUCUUUCGGUGGGGAAGAAAUGGCACGGGUUAAUACCCUGUGUUGAUGACGGUACCCGCAUAAGAAGCACCGGCUAACUACGUG